rnacentral:tRNA from 1 species
CCGUCGAUAGCUCAGUUGGUAGAGCGGUGGACUGUAGGUGUCGAAAAUAGUAAUCCAUAGGUCGCUGGUUCGAAUCCGGCUUGACGGA